CUUCGGCCCGAGUUGUAAUUUGCAGAGGAAGUAUUUGGCGCGGUGCCUUCCGAGUUCCCUGGAACGGGACGCCAUAGAGGGUGAGAGCCCCGUCUGGCUGGACACCAAGCCUGUGUAAUACUCCUUCGACGAGUCGAGUAGUUUGGGAAUGCUGCUCUAAAUGGGAGGUAAAUCUCUUCUAAAGCUAAAUACCGGCCAGAGACCGAUAGCGCACAAGUAGAGUGAUCGAAAGAUGAAAAGCACCUUGAAAAGGGGGUUAAACAGUACGUGAAAUUGUUGAAAGGGAAGCGUUUAUGACCAGACUUGUGCCGUGUGGCUCAUCCGGGGUUCUCCCCGGUGCACUCCACACGGUUCAGGCCAACAUCGGUUCUCGUUGGGGGAUAAGAACAGUAGGAACGUGGCCCUCUUCGGAGGGUGUUAUAGCCUAUUGUACGAUACCUUGAUGGGGACCGAGGACCGCGCUUCGGCUAGGAUGUUGGCGUAAUGGUCAUUAGCGACCCGUCUU
rnacentral:rRNA from 1 species